rnacentral:rRNA from 1 species
GAUCAUGGCUCAGGAUGAACGCUGGCGGCGUGCUUAACACAUGCAAGUCGAACGGAGUUUUAACGGAAGUUUCGGAUGGAAGUUUAAGAACUUAGUGGCGGACGGGUGAGUAACGCGUGGGUAACCUGCCUCAUACAGGGGGAUAACAGUUAGAAAUGACUGCUAACACCGCAUAAUAUAGUGAAACCGCAUGAUUUUGCUAUCAAAUAUUUAUAGGUAUGAGAUGGGCCCGCGUCUGAUUAGCUAGUUGGUGGGGUAAAAGCCUACCAAGGCGACGAUCAGUAGCCGGCUUGAGAGAGUGACCGGCCACAUUGGGACUGAGACACGGCCCAAACUCCUACGGGAGGCAGCAGUGGGGAAUAUUGGACAAUGGGGGAAACCCUGAUCCAGCGAACCGCCGCGUGAGUGAAGAAGUAUUUCGGUAUGUAAAGCUCUAUCAGCAGGGAAGAUAAUGACAGUACCUGACUAAGAAGCCCCGGCUAACUACGUGCCAGCCGCUGC